rnacentral:misc_RNA from 1 species
GUGUACUUGGUUGGAGAAAGGUUCAUCAUCUUCCUGAACAGAUCCAUGGUUGUCUAUUUCUGUUGUUUGAGAAUAACUUUUCUGUCCCUUUUCUAACUGAUCCUUGCCUCCAUUUCCCUUAUCCAACAUAGAAGAAGAAACCCCACUAAUUUCACUUUCAGACACAUUUCUCUCUAGGUUUUCAUUUGCAACAAUAUAAUUGUAUAGUUCUUGAUCAAGUACACCACUAGCCUUUUCUACCUCAAGAUGAAAAUCAUCUGCUUGAACAGAGGC